rnacentral:rRNA from 1 species
GACGAACGCUGGCGGUGUGCUUAACACAUGCAAGUCGAGCGGUAAGGCUCCUUCGGGAGUACACGAGCGGCGAACGGGUGAGUAACACGUGAGCAAUCUGCCCUUCACACGGGGAUAACUCCGGGAAACCGGUGCUAAUACCCGAUACGACCACUUCAGGCAUCUGACGGUGGUGGAAAGUUCCGGCGGUGAAGGAUGAGCUCGCGGCCUAUCAGCUUGUUGGUGGUGUAAUGGCCCACCAAGGCAACGACGGGUAGCCGGCCUGAGAGGGCGACCGGCCACACGGGGACUGAGACACGGCGCAGACUCCUACGGGAGGCAGCAGUGGGGAAUAUUGGACAAUGGGCGAAAGCCUGAUCCAGCAACGCCGCGUGAGGGAUGACGGCCUUCGGGUUGUAAACCUCUUUCAUCCACGACGAAGCGCAAGUGACGGUAGUGGAAGAAGAAGCACCGGCCAACUACGUGCCAGCCGCCGCGGUAAAAC